UUGCAAUGUGGUCCAGACACACCUUGACGCCCAGGGAGGGCACGAUGGUCGCGAGGUCUGGCAUGGUCUCCAUGCGUGUGUAGAGCUCCAGCACCCAGCCGUAGUCGCGGAUGAGAUCCGCAUACUCGUGGAGCAUGCGCGCUAGUUCCCCUGCGUCCAGCUCUUGCGGAACGGAGACAAGAUUCAGCCUCACCCCUCUGACGCCGAGCUGGUGCCAGGUUGACAGAACGCUGUCACCGCCAUGCUGGCCGGUCUCUUCAUCGAUGGUGGCGGCGUCGAAGCAUACAACGCCGCGAGCACGCCUGGGCCCCAAUUGCCGGAGGCUGUCGAGUAGACAGGAAUUGUCGUAGCCGUAGAUGGAAGGCUGGAUGAGGACGACGUUGUGGAUGCCUGUGGUUCUCGUGAAGGCAAGAGCAUCGGAGAGGGUGUGCGGCUUGCUGGGCUGGUAGUCGGCGGUGGUGGAGAGAGGGUAGCGCGAGGGUUCUUCUACGACAUGUAUGUGGCUGUCCCAGGAGUUUGCGGGGAGUCUUUGGGGCAGAGGAGCCUCCCAGCCUCCUUUCGUUGAUCUGUGUUUGAGAUUGUUACUCUGGCGAAGAUUGCUGCCCAUGAUUCUCGGGGCUCUGGGUUGAAUUCGAAGUGGGGGGAGGAGAGGAGCGGCAUGCCAUAAAGGCUGUAUAGUUGUCAAGGCGGUUGGUUCUCGAACAAAGGGCUGCAAACCCGAGGCUUUUGUGCGACGGAGAUGGUCCCGGUGUUUUAGAAUGUCCCAUGUGAGCCGGUUUAACUACUCCAUGCUAUUAGUAACAAAAUCUAGUGGUCAUGGCGUAGGUUGUUAUACAACGAGUAUCCCAGCAGCAGUGGGGCCUAUGGAGGAGGUCCCUCCAGGGAUUGCCGAAAGAAAAGAACAGCAGCCAAAUGAGCAGUUCUGGUUAUCAGUUGAGAGGUUAU
rnacentral:sRNA from 1 species